rnacentral:rRNA from 1 species
UACGGAGGGUGCAAGCGUUAUCCGGAAUCACUGGGAUUAAAGGGCGCGUAGGCUGCUGCAUAAGUCAGGGGUGAAAGUUUGUCGCUUAACGAUGGAAUUGCCUUUGAAACUGCGUGGCUUGAAAUUAGGUGAGGUUGGCGGAAUGUGACAUGUAGCGGUGAAAUGCGUAGAUAUGUCAUAGAACACCGAUGGCGAAGGCGGCUGGCUGACCUAAAUUUGACGCUGAGGCGCGAAAGCGUGGGUAGCAAACAGG